rnacentral:rRNA from 1 species
CCCUUAGAUGUCCUGGGCCGCACGCGCGCUACACUGACAUGUUCAACAAGCCUCCUAGUUCGACAGGAUUUGGGAAAUCUUUGAACGCAUGUCGUGAUAGGGAUAGAUCAUUGCAAUUAUUGAUCUUGAACGAGGAAUUCCUAGUAAACGCGAGUCAUCAGCUCGCAUUGAUUACGUCCCUGCCCUUUGUACACACCGCCCGUCGCACCUACCGAUUGAAUGUUUCGGUGAAGAUUCCGGAUAGGACUUUUUUGAUUUAUCUCAAUUCUGUCUUAAAAGCUAUCUAAACCUCAACAUUUAGAGGAAGGUGAAGUCGUAACA